UACGUAGGGGGCAAGCGUUGUCCGGAAUCAUUGGGCGUAAAGGGCGUGUAGGCGGCUCGGUAAGUCCGCUGUGAAAGUCCAGGGCUCAACCCUGGAAUGCCGGUGGAAACUGUCGAGCUAGAGUCCGGAAGAGGCGAGUGGAAUUCCUGGUGUAGCGGUGAAAUGCGCAGAUAUCAGGAGGAACACCAAUGGCGAAGGCAGCUCGCUGGGACGGUACUGACGCUGAGACGCGAAAGCGUGGGGAGCAAACAGG
rnacentral:rRNA from 1 species